GUUUAGAGAUAUUCAAGUAUGAAGUAUGCACGACGUGUCAAUGAAGUUGAAUGAAUAGCAUACUCGUUUACUUCCACCGUUUCUCUAGAAUUCAUGUCAGGCAUCAUAAAUAACUACCUGGAAUAAACACAUUCAUUAUUCCAGACAAUAAAACAACACUACGUAUUUACCAUUACGCUGAUAUCAAUAAUUUAUAAAGACGGCAGAAAUAAUAACUGGAUGUUGACAAAGCCAUCCACCAAAUAAACAAUUUACGACAUUAGUGGUUGCAUAAUUAAUUAACCCGCCAUACUGACAACGCAGUAAAUUAUGUGAACAUUAUUAGUUGACUAGAAACUUUCUGAAGUAAGUGUUGAACUUUUAAUAAAUUUACAAUGGACGACAUAUUUACAAAAAUUCCUGAAUGUAUAGGAGUUUUGCCCGAUAAUUCACUAUAUCAUAAUUAUCCAAAAAUAUAUGCACUUUAUUCAAUGUUGCAUUUUAUCUACAACCUCGGACUCAUCAUGUAUCCAGUAGUCAUUAGUAUAAUUGAUAUUAUCCAUGGACUAUAUCCAAAAAAUGAAAUUUCGUUCGAAAUAAUGGUUGCAGUAAAGCAUAUUUUAUAUGCCCUCAUUGUGAGUAUAUCAGUGUUGUGGCAAAACUUGUUAUAUCCGAGGACUUACAUUGAUAUGAAAAUACAAUUUCGUAAAAUUGAUGCAAUUUUAGUAAGACGCGGAAUUUCAUUUGACUCUCGAUUUGCUUGGAUAAAAUACAUUAUUUUUUACAGUGGAUACAUUUUAUACGUAAUUUAUUUAUAUCAUAUUGCUGGCCAUGAUGAGCAUGUAGUAUAUAUUGUGUUAGUAAGCUGGAUACAUUACAACUUUGCUUUGGAAAUAGUCCUUGCAUGGAGAUGGCUGGAAUUGAUUCGCCAACGUUUAUAUUAUUUAAAUGCGUUAAUUAAAGAUUUAGAAUUAAAUUCCAGCAAACAUUCAGAACAACUUGACUAUGUAGUCUCACCAGAAGACGUAAUUAAUCAUACUGGGAAAUAUGUAAAUGAUUUGAUUGAAAUUCAAAGAAGAAUCGUAAUAAUCGUGAACGCAUUUAAUGUUCUUAUGGGUACCAGUGUGGCGUUGAGAAGUUUCCUGUUUAUUAUCGAAAUAUUGAUUGUUGUAUUACGAAUUACUAUUCAUUUACCGGAUGGAUUUUUGUUAUCAUUAAUUGACACAUUAAUUGAAGGAUUUGGAUGGUGCGCAAUUAUCGUAAAAUCUCAACAUGUGGUUGAUGAAGGAGCUAAAUCAGUUGAUAGAUGUUUUGAUGCCACAACAUGUUGGUUACAAAGUAAUAACAAGUCUGAUAUGGAUAAAGAAUUAUUAUCUCAUUUAAGUCAACGUGUGGCGACACAAAUGCCACGUUUUACUGCCGCUAAAUUUUAUAAUGUCGAUUUUGCAGCGUUUUUUAUGUUAUUAAAUAUGACAGUAGGUUAUAUUAUUAUUGUUAUUCAGUUUUCAUAAUUUCUAAACCAAAGAUAAUUUUAUAUCAAUUUGCAUCUAUUUAAUAUUAUUAAGAAUAUUUAUAAAAAAAAACAUUGACUCAUUUAAUAAUUUUCCUGAAACACGCAAAUUAUAUAUGAAUGUAUUUUUCUUUCGUAAAUGUUUCAAUUGGAUUGCAUGUUAUUAUCAAGUUGUAAUAAAAAAAGGCUAAUCAGUAAAAUGUAUAUCUACUUGUUCAAUCGUAUUUCAUCGAAUUAAUAAUACAAAACUUAUUAUCAUUUGUGAUAUUUGUGUGAAAAGUCAAGGUGGCGGCUAUUUUAUUUCUUUUAUUAUUCAACUAAGUUACUUAUUAAGAAAUUAUUGUUUAGAAAUACAUAAAACAUGUCAAGA